rnacentral:rRNA from 1 species
UACGGAGGGAGCUAGCGUUGUUCGGAAAUACUGGGCGUAAAGCGCACGUAGGCGGCGCAGCAAGUCAGGGGUGAAAUCCCGGGGCUCAACCCCGGAACUGCCUCUGAAACUGCAGUGCUAGAAUCUUGGAGAGGCGAGUGGAAUUCCGAGUGUAGAGGUGAAAUUCGUAGAUAUUCGGAAGAACACCAGUGGCGAAGGCGGCUCACUGGCCCGGUACUGACGCUGAGAUACGAAAGCGUGGGGAGCAAACAGG